GCACAUACGAGUUGUGUUUAAAUAGAGCUUUGCUCGCGAACCAAAUCUGGUCGGCUGGGCCAAUCGAGCGGAAAUGCUUGGUUGGUUUGUCGGCGAAUUGCAAUCAUCAUAUGAGCGGGGGUGAAUCCUUUGCAGACGACUUGAAUGGGAACGGGGUACUGUAAGCAGUAGAGUAGCCUUGUUGCUACGAUCUGCUGAGGUUAAGCCCUUGUUCUAUAGAUUUGUUCAACGAACAGUUGAACUCUUCUCUUUCCUUACCACCUUCGGACUUCAGGGCAGGUCCAGUAGGACUUGUGCUCUGGUUCGGGGAUGCCACCGGGAAGAGCGAACGGGGUGAGUGUUGACCGGUUUUAUUUGUAUGAUGACCAGCAUUCUCUUCCCCGUCUUAUACGACCAUGCAGAGGGAAUAGAGAGGCUUGUUUCGCAAACAAGCUCGCGCCCUUGGUGCGCAAAGGGUACUUGCCAGUGCCGCUUAGUCUGACUUCUCCGUUCAAUGCCCGCUACAAGUUCGACGCUGACCGGACUAAUUGUAGGCCUUGAAGCGCACCUUUGAAGCGGCUAAUAACGCCAUUUGAAGCCGUUCAUAAAGUGAGUUUACUGGACUUCAACCCGCUUUGUUACACGAUGAAACAUCACCGUACAUUCGCAGUUUUCGCCAAAGUGCCCUCCUAUUGAGGGAGUACUCCUCCAAUACUGAACGCUUAUAUUCCCCCUCUAAUGCCGUGUUGAACCCAAUCGCACGACAGAGCGUGGGCCGCCCUUGCGGUGCGCUGAGCGGGAGGUGGGGGUCGGCGCGAUGAGGGCUUGAAUGACCUUCCUUUGGAUGUCUGAUCCCAUUUUAAUUGCGACUAUUGAGCCGUUUACUGACCUUUUCUUUCUCAGUUUAUUCGCUUCAUCAAGGCUUUGUAGCACCCUUCUAUACAAGUAAGUACAGCGGGGUAUCUAGUUUAGGGCAGG
rnacentral:misc_RNA from 1 species